CCUUGGGAUAUAAUCAUCGGAGCAUUCUUUCUGAUUAGACCUAUGACUCAAAGAGCAAUUUUCUUAGUUUAAAGUAGACCUAGAGCCUUGUGCUACAAUACUGAAGCAGAAAUGACUCAAUGAAAAAAGAUUGUGGGAUAUUAGCCACCAAAUGUGCUAACUAUAAACUCUGAAAUACAUCAAAAAUGAAAUUAUCGUAAAUUAUCUAAACUGACGCAUCUUUUCAUUUCCUUAGCAGUUUGAUGUGAUCCACGGUUAUGAGAUUCAGAACUGUGGUGCUUCGGGGGACAAUGACAGCUGUUCCAUAACUUUCAGCAAUA
ensembl:lncRNA